CCUACGGGAGGCAGCAGUGAGGAAUAUUGGUCAAUGGACGAGAGUCUGAACCAGCCAAGUAGCGUGAAGGAUGACUGCCCUAUGGGUUGUAAACUUCUUUUAUAUGGGAAUAAAAUGUUCCACGUGUGGGCUUUUGUAUGUACCAUAUGAAUAAGGAUCGGCUAACUCCGUGCCAGCAGCCGCGGUAAUACGGAGGAUGCGAGCGUUAUCCGGAUUUAUUGGGUUUAAAGGGUGCGUAGGCGGAAUAUCAAGUCAGCGGUAAAAAUUCGGGGGUCAACCCCGUCGUGCCGUUGAAACUGAUGUUCUUGAGUGGGCGAGAAGUAUGCGGAAUGCGUGGUGUAGCGGUGAAAUGCAUAGAUAUCACGCAGAACUCCGAUUGCGAAGGCAGCAGACCGGCGCCCAACUGACGCUGAAGCACGAAAGCGUGGGUAUCGAACAGGAUUAGAUACCCUUGUAGUC
rnacentral:rRNA from 1 species